AAGAUCAUACUUCACGCGAUCAUUUAUGUAGUGUAUCUUUGCAAACUUUCUACCCAAAGUAGGAAUCAAUGCUAUUACGACGGUGAGAGACGGCACCCUUCCUGAAACGCAAGGAAGACUCGGGAACUUGGCUCUUGUUGUGAGGUCCCAGCAUCGAUGAUCAUUCACGGUUCACCGCUUACACUCUGUGCUCUCCUUCCCAUCUGAAAUAUAUGGAAAGGUUAGUUUCCGGAAUGGU